rnacentral:rRNA from 1 species
GUCGUCUGCCGGCGGCUGGGUGAGUCAGAAACCAUUGCGAUAGGCGAAGGGCAUGCGAAAGGCCCGGCGUAGAGGGUAAGACCCCCGUAGCUGAAAUCGUGGUGGCUUGCUUGUUCAUUUCCCAAGUAGCACAGGGCCCGAGAAAUCCUGUGUGAAUCUGGCGGGACCACCCGCUAAGCCUAAAUAUUCCCUGGUGACCGAUAGCGGAUAGUACCGUGAGGGAAUGGUGAAAAGUACCGCGGGAGCGGAGUGAAAUAGUACCUGAAACCGUGUGCCUACAAGCCGUGGGAGCGUCG